ACCUUGUUGAUUGCAGCAGGGUCCGUGUUUGCUGGCUUGCCACCUUCUGACUUCAUGAGAGUUCAUACCAAGGGACAGUUCCCAGAGCUCAGAAAUCCACCCCCAGUUAAAAAGCAUUUGUUUAUAAAUCUGCCUGUUGGCAUCAAACCUUUUCUCUUUGAUCCUUCAUGCUUAUCAGAGAUUAAUUCUUUAUCCUUUGUUUUAUUCCUAUGUGUCCAGGAGGAACGUACUGAAUAUCAAGAAUAUUUCAGAGGACCCUGGAGCAGAGAUGGUACCUGCACAGUGCACCUUGAUGAUAUCAGCAUCCACUGCCAAUACAGCGUGAAGGCACUCAUCUAAGAAGAUGCCGAGCCAAGAGAGUGAUAUUGCUAAAAGUUCAGCUUCUCGACACAGCCAUACUCUCUCCUUUUGACCUUGGCUGCUCUCUUCCAUGUCAUGACAGCCUCCUUGUUGCUAAGUCUGGCCCCAUCUGACUUGCUCCAUCAGCAACACUUGACCUGGUUGAUAACUUCCUUCUCCUUGAAAUCUUUUCUUCUCUUGGGUUUUCCUCCUACCUCCCUGGUCAUUCCUUCUCAGCUUUUUCUGCUGGUUGUCCUCAUCCUUGCAAUCCCUGAUUGUUCAGUUCCCAUGGAUCAGUACUUGGG
rnacentral:lncRNA from 13 species